rnacentral:rRNA from 1 species
UUGCCUGGCGGCACUAGCGCGGUGGUCCCACCUGACCCCAUGCCGAACUCAGAAGUGAAACGCCGUAGCGCCGAUGGUAGUGUGGGGUCUCCCCAUGUGAGAGUAGGGAACUGCCAGGCAUCAAAUAAAGCAGAAAGCCCGGUCAAAAGACCGGGCUUUUUGUUUUUGCGUUUAAAAAGAACCCCGUCCCGAAAGGUGCGGGUUUUUUUGCUGUGUGGGGUAUAUCUCCCCCGGUGGCGCUGCGCUUACCGGGGCUACAAAAGCGUAGCCCGGACAAAGUGCGCAGCACCGCCUCCGGCGAGAAUUACGCCAUGUUCGCUCCAUUAUCUCCUUUCAACGCAAAAUAAAACCCCGUCAUGGCAAUCCCUUCGCCAUAAUCCACUUUUUCCCUGCCCCUGCGCUGGCGAUGAUCGCGAAAACCGUGCUUGCGAAAAAAAAUGUGAAUCCAAUCACAUAUAAAAAAAUAACAAUUAUAUAACAUUUAGUUUACUAAUUAAUUUGUCUGCGUGACGUGGUACGCCCGACAAGACAGAUUGCAGUCUUUGCUGGAGCAAUAUAACAAUGACAGAAAGUAGCAUUACCGAACGGGGCGCGCCGGAACUGGCCGAUACCCGUCGUCGUAUUUGGGCAAUUGUUGGCGCUUCCUCGGGGAAUCUGGUUGAAUGGUUUGAUUUUUACGUUUACUCAUUCUGCUCGCUCUAUUUCGCGCACAUCUUCUUUCCAUCCGGAAAUACCACCACCCAACUGCUGCAAACGGCAGGCGUAUUUGCCGCCGGAUUUCUGAUGCGUCCUAUCGGUGGAUGGCUGUUUGGUCGGAUCGCUGACCGCCGGGGACGUAAAACGUCCAUGCUUAUCUCGGUCUGCAUGAUGUGCUUUGGCUCACUGGUGAUUGCCUGUCUGCCGGGUUAUGCGGUGAUCGGCUCCUGGGCCCCGGCGCUUCUGCUGCUGGCGCGUCUGUUCCAGGGGCUGUCUGUUGGCGGAGAAUACGGCACCAGUGCGACCUAUAUGAGUGAAGUCGCGGUGGAGGGUAAGAAAGGCUUCUAUGCCUCCUUCCAGUACGUUACGCUGAUUGGUGGUCAACUGCUGGCUGUAUUAGUGGUUGUGGCGCUCCAGCAGGUGCUUANNNNNNNNNNNAUCAGAAGUGCGAAUGCUGACAUAAGUAACGAUAAAGCGGGUGAAAAGCCCGCUCGCCGGAAGACCAAGGGUUCCUGUCCAACGUUAAUCGGGGCAGGGUGAGUCGACCCCUAAGGCGAGGCCGAAAGGCGUAGUCGAUGGGAAACAGGUUAAUAUUCCUGUACUUGGUGUUACUGCGAAGGGGGGACGGAGAAGGCUAUGUUAGCCGGGCGACGGUUGUCCCGGUUUAAGCAUGUAGGCUGGUUAUCCAGGCAAAUCCGGAUAAUCAAGGCUGAGGUGUGAUGACGAGGCACUACGGUGCUGAAGUAACAAAUGCCCUGCUUCCAGGAAAAGCCUCUAAGCAUCAGGUAACAUCAAAUCGUACCCCAAACCGACACAGGUGGUCAGGUAGAGAAUACCAAGGCGCUUGAGAGAACUCGGGUGAAGGAACUAGGCAAAAUGGUGCCGUAACUUCGGGAGAAGGCACGCUGGUGUGUAGGUGAAGUCCCUGCGGAUGGAGCUGAGACCAGUCGAAGAUACCAGCUGGCUGCAACUGUUUAUUAAAAACACAGCACUGUGCAAACACGAAAGUGGACGUAUACGGUGUGACGCCUGCCCGGUGCCGGAAGGUUAAUUGAUGGGGUUAUCCGUAAGGAGAAGCUCUUGAUCGAAGCCCCGGUAAACGGCGGCCGUAACUAUAACGGUCCUAAGGUAGCGAAAUUCCUUGUCGGGUAAGUUCCGACCUGCACGAAUGGCGUAAUGAUGGCCAGGCUGUCUCCACCCGAGACUCAGUGAAAUUGAACUCGCUGUGAAGAUGCAGUGUACCCGCGGCAAGACGGAAAGACCCCGUGAACCUUUACUAUAGCUUGACACUGAACAUUGAGCCUUGAUGUGUAGGAUAGGUGGGAGGCUUUGAAGCGUGGACGCCAGUCUGCGUGGAGCCAACCUUGAAAUACCACCCUUUAAUGUUUGAUGUUCUAACGUUGGCCCCUUACCGGGGUUGCGGACAGUGUCUGGUGGGUAGUUUGACUGGGGCGGUCUCCUCCCAAAGCGUAACGGAGGAGCACGAAGGUUAGCUAAUCCUGGUCGGACAUCAGGAGGUUAGUGCAAUGGCAUAAGCUAGCUUGACUGCGAGCGUGACGGCGCGAGCAGGUGCGAAAGCAGGUCAUAGUGAUCCGGUGGUUCUGAAUGGAAGGGCCAUCGCUCAACGGAUAAAAGGUACUCCGGGGAUAACAGGCUGAUACCGCCCAAGAGUUCAUAUCGACGGCGGUGUUUGGCACCUCGAUGUCGGCUCAUCACAUCCUGGGGCUGAAGUAGGUCCCAAGGGUAUGGCUGUUCGCCAUUUAAAGUGGUACGCGAGCUGGGUUUAGAACGUCGUGAGACAGUUCGGUCCCUAUCUGCCGUGGGCGCUGGAGAAUUGAGGGGGGCUGCUCCUAGUACGAGAGGACCGGAGUGGACGCAUCACUGGUGUUCGGGUUGUCAUGCCAAUGGCACUGCCCGGUAGCUAAAUGCGGAAGAGAUAAGUGCUGAAAGCAUCUAAGCACGAAACUUGCCCCGAGAUGAGUUCUCCCUGAGACUUUAAGUCUCCUGAAGGAACGUUAAAGACGAUGACGUUGAUAGGCCGGGUGUGUAAGCGCAGCGAUGCGUUGAGCUAACCGGUACUAAUGAACCGUGAGGCUUAACCUU